CCCCCCCGAAUUGUGUCUUAAAAAGGCGCCAUCGGCCGCUCUCGUCGCUCAAAUCCCUUGGAACAGGGUAUCGGAGAAGGUGAGAAUCCUGUGCCGUGGCGAAGAGCGGCCGCACGAUGCGUCCUUGUCGAGUCGGGUUGCUUGGGAUUGCAGCUUGAAGUGGGUGGUAAAUUCCAUCUAAAGCUAAAUACUGGCGAGAGACCGAUAGCGAACAAGUACCGUGAGGGAAAGAUGCAAAGAACUUUGAAAAGAGAG
rnacentral:rRNA from 1 species